UACGGGGGGGGCAAGCGUUGUUCGGAAUUACUGGGCGUAAAGGGCUCGUAGGUGGCCAACUAAGUCGGACGUGAAAUCCCUCAGCUUAACUGGGGAACUGCGUCCGAUACUGGAUGGCUUGAGUUUGGGAGAGGGAUGCGGAAUUCCAGGUGUAGCGGUGAAAUGCGUAGAUAUCAGGAGGAACACCUGUGGUGUAGACAGCUUACUGGACCAUUUCUGACGCUGAGACACGAAAGCGUGGGUAGCAAACAGG
rnacentral:rRNA from 1 species